GCUGGGCUCAGUGGCACGUGCCUGUAGUCCCAGCUGCUCGGGAGGCUGAGGUGGGAGGAUCGCUGGAGCCCAGGAGUUCUAGGCUGUAAUGCGCUACGCCAAUCGGGUGUCCGCACUAAGUUCAGCAUCAAAAUGGUGACCUCCCAGUAGCAGGGGACCACCAGGUGGCCUAAGGAGGGGUGAACCGGCCCAGGUCGGAAACGGAGCAGGUCAAAACUCCUGUGCUGAUCAGUACCUGUGAAAAGCCACUGCACUCCAGCCUGGGCAACACAGAGAGACCCCGUCUCU
rnacentral:SRP_RNA from 1 species